rnacentral:lncRNA from 1 species
GGUAAUAAUGUUUGCUAUAUGGUAUGUAUAUAUAAAAAUCCCUUACGAAAUUAUAAUCUAAAUUAAUUCUAAUUAGUGCUCAGAUUUCAUAAAUCAAAAUACCACUUCAACUUUUUUUUUAAGAAAAAGAUUGCGCUAUACACGAUUUGCAGCAAAAGGCAUACAUUCAUGCUAUGGCUCAUGGAAGAAAACUUAAAAUUGAACCACAAUCUAUGGACUCAAGGCCUAGACCCAACGGUCCAGGCCCGAAUCUGUCUAGACACCUUUUCAUUUGGGCUUAACUCCAGGUCUGUUCCCAUCAUCUGCUAUACAUUUGCAAAGGAAUGUGAUUAUAACUAAUUACAUCCUUCAGGCAGUUAUUUCAAAUAUUAAUGUAUGAAAUUAAAAUCUAAGAUUAUUAUAAUCCUCAAAUAAAAAAAUAAAAAAAUUUUCAGAAUCAAUAAACUUCAACUUAUUAAUACAUAAACAUUGUGCUAAUAACUAAUCUAUUAUAAAUUUUGAAUAACUGAUAUCCCGAUGAAUCUGAGCUCUUUUAGACAUGGUUUGUCCAUUAGAGUUUAGUCCCUUCUUAUGUUUAAACAUUAGUAUCCAAUUGUCAGCUUGUGAAACUACUGAUUUGGCCAAUUAACAACCAAAUCUGCAGGUAUUAGCCUCAAAUUAGCUAAUAGUUUUACAACCAUUCUCAUAUUCAAACAACAAUCAUAACAUAUAGAUUUUAGCACACUCUAGCUAUACACAUCUAAAUUUAGGCCUUAACACAUACUGAUUUGACCCGUCAAUGGCCAAAUCUAUAAAUUAUGGCAUACUUAACUUUAAACCAGGCCAGUAUUAUACUAAAUCACUUAUAAGCAAGAAAAGCAUAAAUAACAGCUGAAAGAGCUAAGGUAAAACAAAAGGGAUUUUCAGUUCAUGCAAAUCCAGAUUUCAACAUGCUAAAAGAUUACAUCACAAAGAAAUACCCCAAACACUCGUGUUAAUACACUUGCAAUCAAAAUUGUCUAAAGUCAAAGAUUAAUCAAACAAUAUCAAAAGAACACCCAUUCAUUUCACACCUCUUUGCAAAUUUUGACAUUUUUAUUACUUAUGUACAAGGAAACUACAUAGGAGAUCCGAAGCAGUACCUUGAAAAGUGAGAUUCAUCAAAUAAAAUAGGGAAACAAAUAACUGAGAAUCCAAAGAAGGAACAACAGAAGGGAUCAGUCAAACAAUAACAGUAAACACAACACAACAAAUCCAGUGAAUCAAACUUCAGACUCCAAAACAAACAGCUGAAACCAGAAAAUCCAGCCGAUGGACCAAGCAAACCCUCUAUCUUCAAACCAUGUUCAAAACUUGUGAGGAAUGAGAGAUUUUUUCGAGUUUUUUUCAAAGAUAUUGGAGUAUGUACUUUUUAGAGAAAAUAGAGCUUUUCAGUAAAAGUGCUGAUGAAAAAUAUGUAUGAAAAUCUCUGUAUUCUCUAUGGGAAAAUGCACCAUAUAUAGGGAUAUAUAAUGCCCUAUGCUGAGAAAUUAUUCCUUAGCCAAAACAGCAUAUUCCCAACAGAAUUGGGACAACUGAUUUUCCCCCAUUGGCUUUAGUACUUUGUACUAAUCAAAUGAGACCAAUUACACCUUUUUCUAGAGUAUUCUGAUAUUUCCAAUUAAGAAAAAUCCUAAUUUACCCUUUUGAAACCUGCUUAUUACAGCCUCUAUCUAAAUUUUUUUGUUCACUUAGGUCCCUAGGGCUUCUAAUAGUUGGCAAAUCAGAGCUAACACUAUAAGGCCAAUGUUGCUACACACAAGAAGAUUAAAAGACGAGACUAUUGAGCAAAAUAAUUGAAUUAAAAAAUCACUGAUAUGAACAGAAUCCGAAAACUGGAACAAUCAUAGAAGAAACGAUUUAAACCAUAAAAUGAAACAAACAUGAAGAAAAACUUUGAAACUAAUAUUAACACGAACUUCAAAGGAAAACUAUUAAACCUAACAAAAUUGAUGAAACUUAGCAAACAGAAAAAGAAUUUUAAUCAGGCGGCAAAUUUGACGGUAGAACCACUUAAAACAAACUUUAAUUUUAAAAAUAAACACGACUUAACUAUCCUACAUGCCUCGAAUUUUAUCAAAACAAAUAACUUUAGAAAACUUAAAUCACCGAAAUUCAGAUUAACCCAGUAACCAAAACAAAAUUGACACCCAAGUAAUACAAGUAAAAAGACCUAUUUAAACAAGAAAAGAAAAAGCAGGAACAAAAUGAAUUUGGCCGGAACAGCUUGGACAGAAGAGUGAAUCGACAUGCUAACUGAAACCAUACGCAAGGAAAUAUACAUAAAGAAAAAGAGAUGGAGAUGAUACUCAGAAAAAGACAGAAUGGCAAAGAGAAUUACCUAAAAAAUUAAAAAAGACCUUCAAAACGGCACUUGAUUGAUUGUAGGGUCUAAUCCUCUGAAAUGAACCAAAAUUAAUGCUAAUCAGUUGUUCUUGCCAAGAACAAGUUGACUAGCAUGCAUUUCGGACUACUUCAAGCUUGGAAACCAAAUCAACUAGGGCUUCUGACUUUUUCGUCGGUUUGAAAUUUGGGAUUUUUGGCAGGGGUAUUUGGGAAGUCAGUAAUGGAAUCGUGAUGCGGGAAGGUCAAGGAUGAUGGGGUUUGAUAUUGGGUUAAUUUGGAAAGUUAGGGUUUUGACCGGAAAUUCGAACUAAUCUGAAGGUAUUCAAGGGAAACUAGUCGGAGAUUGGAAAAUGGAGGUCAUGAGGGUUAUGCGGUGUGAAGGUGGGGGUGAUUAGAUUCCGGCAGGCGGUUUGUGGCGGAGGUAGCAAUGGAAAGCAAGGGAGGCUAGCUUGGUUAGAGAGACUGAGUGAGAAUGAGG